UACGAAGGGGGCUAGCGUUGUUCGGAUUUACUGGGCGUAAAGCGCACGUAGGCGGAUUGUUAAGUCAGGGGUGAAAUCCUGGAGCUCAACUCCAGAACUGCCUUUGAUACUGAAGAUCUUGAGUUCGGGAGAGGUGAGUGGAAUUCCCAGUGUAGAGGUGAAAUUCGUAGAUAUUGGGAAGAACACCGGUGGCGAAGGCGGCCUUCUGGACAGUGACUGACGCUGAGACGCGAAAGCGUGGGGAGCAAACAGGGAUUAAGAAA
rnacentral:rRNA from 1 species